UAGGUUUGUAUUAAGUCAAACUUCUUUAAGUUUGACCAUGCAUAUAUAAAAAGAUCUUAAUAUCUACAACAUCAAAUAUAUAUAGUAUGAAAAAAUAUUUUAUGAUGAAUCUAACAAAACUAAUUUGGUGUUGUAAAUGUUGGUAUAUUUUACAAUAGACUUGGUCAAACUUAAAGAUGUUUGACUUAAGACAAACCUAG
rnacentral:pre_miRNA from 1 species